UCCCAGGCUGUGACUCUACAAAGGAAAGCACUUUCUGUUGUCGAAAGAAAAGAAAGCGCUUCCCUUUUGAGAAUUACGGUUUGAGA
rnacentral:pre_miRNA from 8 species